rnacentral:rRNA from 1 species
UACGUAGGGGGCAAGCGUUAUCCGGAUUUACUGGGUGUAAAGGGAGCGUAGACGGCAGGGCAAGUCUGGAGUGAAAGGCAGGGGCUCAACCCCUGGACUGCUCUGGAAACUGUCCGGCUGGAGUGCAGGAGAGGUAAGUGGAAUUCCUAGUGUAGCGGUGAAAUGCGUAGAUAUUAGGAGGAACACCAGUGGCGAAGGCGGCUUACUGGACUGUAACUGACGUUGAGGCUCGAAAGCGUGGGGAGCAAACAGG